CCAAUCUUUAGUGAGCCAGGACUCGUCCAUGGUCUCGCGAAAUUUUGUAUUUAAAACCUACUCUUCUAUAAUUAAAAAAAAAUGUAUCAAUGAUAAAAAUUAAGA
rnacentral:misc_RNA from 1 species